GCGAACAAUACUCUCAAAG
rnacentral:rRNA from 1 species